ensembl:snRNA U2 U2 spliceosomal RNA
ACUGCUUUUCCACCUUUAGGCUAAGAUCAAGUGUAGUAUCUGUUCUUUACCAACGUAAUGCCGGAUACCUCCUCCCUCUGGGAACAAUACCAGUUAAGUGAGUUUUUGGAGCAAGGAGUUGGCAUCGGAGCCUGCAGUGUGUCGCAGCACUUCCCAGGAACGGUGCACUCCCU